AUUGAACGCUGGCGGCAGGCCUAACACAUGCAAGUCGAGCGGAUGAAGGGAGCUUGCUCCUGGAUUCAGCGGCGGACGGGUGAGUAAUGCCUAGGAAUCUGCCUGGUAGUGGGGGAUAACGUCCGGAAACGGGCGCUAAUACCGCAUACGUCCUGAGGGAGAAAGUGGGGGAUCUUCGGACCUCACGCUAUCAGAUGAGCCUAGGUCGGAUUAGCUAGUUGGUGGGGUAAAGGCCUACCAAGGCGACGAUCCGUAAUUGGUCUGAGAGGAUGAUCAGUCACACUGGAACUGAGACACGGUCCAGACUCCUACGGGAGGCAGCAGUGGGGAAUAUUGGACCAUGGGCGAAAGCCUGAUCCAGCCAUGGCGCGUGUGUGAAGAAGGUCUUCGGAUUGUAAAGCACUUUAAGUUGGGAGGAAGGGCAGUAAGUUAAUACCUUGCUGUUUUGACGUUACCAACAGAAUAAGCACCGGCUAACUUCGUG
rnacentral:rRNA from 1 species